rnacentral:tRNA from 1 species
GGGGAUUUAGCUCAGUGGUAGAGCGCUUGCCUAGCAAGAGCAAGGCCCUAGGAAGGCCCUGGGUUCGGUCCCCAGCUCCG